rnacentral:lncRNA from 1 species
UCAACUGUGCAAAGUGAAAAAUAACAUAAACAUAAACAAGUUAAAUGAUAUGUAUAAUACCAAAUGGUAAAUGACUUGAAUUUAAAAUGCAUAAAGUAAAUGACUUGAAAUUAAAAGAGUUGGUGAAAUUGUUAGUUGAUUAGAAGUUAGUGGAGUUUUGCUUUUUCUAUUGUUUAAGUCAUUCUUUGGAGAGCACUCAACCCUCUCUAUUCACAAGCAUGCAUCCUUGAACUAAGACAUCUCCCAAAGGAAGGAAAAAAGGCCAAGUUUCCACUUAAUACCAUGAAAGGGGGGAGACUUACAAUCAUACUUACU